rnacentral:lncRNA from 1 species
GGUCUUCGGUGUUUUGACGUCGUCAUGGUUGUUGUUUCGGUGCGGCGGCCAUGCAUGCCAUAUCUUUAGAGGACGUGAUCAUGUUUUGCUUCCUAUGGGUUGUGCGGUGCUCUUCAGUGCUUUGUGACAUCUUAGGGUUUCCAGGUGUAGAUUGGCGGUACAAGGAGGAGGCGGUGACUCGUUAUGGUGGCGGUUGUGGUGAGGAACUGUGUAUUCGAUCUUGUACUACAACUCAACCUCUUAUUUGAGAGAGUAUAAAUCGCUCCUUAGGGCAAUUUGAGUGAUCUCUCUCUCUCUCUCUCAAUGUAAAACUCAAAACUUUUUCAGAUCUUGGUCUUCCCGUACCGGUGACGGUGUUGUGAGGGACAUGCCUCCUUUUUCUUCAUUUAUUUGUCUUUCUGGUUGGAGUUUCAUAUGUGGGUUCUCUCUCUUUGAUGUGGCAUAUGGUAUUUAGGUCUUCGGUGUUUUGACGUCGUCAUGGUUGUUGUUUCGGUGCGGCGGCCAUGCGUGCCAUAUCUUUAGAGGACGUGAUCAUGUUUUGCUUCCUAUGGGCUGUGGGGUGCUCGUCAGUGCUUUGUGACAUCUUAGGGUUUCCAGGUGUAGAUUGGCGGUACAAGGAGGAGGCGGUGACUCGUUAUGGUGGCGGUUGUGGUGAGGAAGUGGUGGUGUUGCUUGAACUGAAGGCCCAAAGAUUAAGCUUAUUGUUAUGAGGACGAAGACAGAUUUUGAAAGGGGUUUCAGCAACGUCUGACUACGGUGACGGCAAGAGACGAUCAGAUUGGCACCAU